GUGAGCUCACCUAAACUUCAGCUUUUUACUGAUGCUGCAGGCUCUCUGGGUUAUGGGGCAAUUUUUGGUGACGAAUGGAGCUAUGGGCAAUGGCCCGAUACAUGGGUAGGAAAGAAUAUCGCUAUUCUGGAAUUCUACCCCAUUGUCCUUAGUGUACAUUUAUGGGGGCAAAGAAUGACCAACCAGUGCAUUUUAUUUUUUACUGAUAACGAAGCAUUGGUUUACGUGAUCAAUAAACAGAGCUGCCGGGAUAAAUCUCUAAUGUUUUUUGUCCGCCACUUGGCCGCCCUUUGUCUUAAACAUAACAUUCUUUUCAGAGCAAAACAUAUACCAGGUGUGCAUAACAUUUUAGCAGAUUCUUUAUCUCGUCUCCAGCUUCAGGUUUUCAAAGACAAAGCCCCAGCAACCAUGCAUUCCAACCCGACGGAAAUUCCGUUGUCUCUGUUGCCACAACAUUGGGGCCCAUAGUUGAAACACUCAUGGCUUCAAGCCUCCAGCAAUCAUCCAUCCCUACCUAUAGACGUGCUUGGCGUUUAUUUAACCAGUUCCUCAGCGCUACCUUCCAGAAUUGUGUUGUACAGCUGCCCAUAUCGCCAAAACCGGUCGAUUGCUGGGGAAUCCAUAGGUUCUCGAAGGCAUAUGAUGUAUACUGUAUACAACCCACUACUUGCAAGGGCGAUAGAUUGAGUGUGUGCAGUACAUCUCAUUCAAUGCUUUAGUGUGACGAUUUUUCGCGAAUGUAUUUGUUUCAAACGUGGAACGUUUUGAUUUCAAGCUAAGAAACUAAGAAAAGUUCCUCUUUAGGACCCUGAAAUUUAUGAGGCAGCCGAAGAAGAGCUUGUUGACGAGGCAGUUGAUGAAUUAGAAGACUCAGAUGUAUAUAGUGUAAGCUUUUUAGAAAUUACGACAAUUAAUACAACCAUACUUUUGGUAAUCUCUUGCAAAAGGUUAUUUUUGUGAACCGUGAUCAACCAAUUUUCUUUACUUUCUGUUAUACAUAAUAUUUUAGGGAAACAAGACCGCACCAUCUUUGACAAAGCUGCUAAUAUUUCAAGUCAUCCUUUUACCAUCUUAUUGCAUCGCUAUAUGGUACCAAAAUACAAUCUGCGCAGUAGAACUAGUGCCAAACCCAGAAUAGAGCUCAUUUAUUAAUAUAAAUUUUCUUAAUAUAAUGUAGCGCAUGUAAAGGCUUCAUCCGGGUAUUAAAGUGUCUGUAAAUAUAACAAUUGGUUUAUUUUGAGAUAAAGGCUUAAAAUAUUUAAUUA